ACGGCUGCUUUGAGAGGGUAACUCUGGGUUUCGUGCAGCCUGAGGAAGCUCAGUUGUUUAGCAAACGGUCUAAUUAAUGCGACCGUGUUGUGGAGUUAGACCCUUUUCCUUCUCUUAGCUGGAAUUAGCUGGGGAUUUGAUGCAAGCCAGGCUCCAGCUGAGUUGAGUCUGACCAAAGGAGGUGAAGGACUGCAGUUCCUACAGGGGGAGCCAGAGAGCACACGAGGAAAAGAGGAAUUACCUGGGCCAACAGGGAAGCUUUCCUUCAUCAUCCUUCAUUAGACGAGCGCCAGUCAAGCCAAACCGCUUCAAGCCGAAGCAAAGAUUCCAAAACAUCGUUGUGUUGUGGGCAGCACAGACAACAAAAAUGAAGGGAGGGAGGGAGGGAGGAGGGGAUGGGCGAGGUGAAAGUCAUGCUUCGGAAAAUACUUCCCGGUCAAAACUGGGUUUCCUGAGAGAUCAGUGGCCAAUUCUGGGUAGGUUUUUCAAGAUUCGUAACUGAUUCGCAAAGCUUGUGAGGUUCUCUGCUAAUUAUCUUGUGUAUCUUUGGGGGGGGGGGUUGAGCAGGCCCUUUGCAAUCAGCGUCUGCACAUUCAUCAUAUUUUAUGCUUAUCUUCAGCAUUUCGAUGGUGCCAUCCGUGACCACCCUCCCCUCCUUGGCUAUAUCUCUGUGUGAAAACUGAACUACUUUAAGUCUGUUUUGUAAACAUAGUACUGCACUCUUGGCUCUGGCUCAGUGCAGUGCAUUAGCGAUUUUUGGCAUAGCACGAGUUUGUCAGGUAUAUAGACCUCUUAACACAAAGCUUGCAUCAGCCCUCAGGAAUGCAAGACAGAGAGAGAAAGAGAGGGAAGGAGUGAGAAAGUGAGUGAAAGAGAGAGUGAGAAAUUAACCUUGUACUUCCAACCGGGGAGAAAAGCUUGACCUGAUUUGCCAUUAGGCUGGGAAUAAAAAGGCCUGUGAUUGGUGGAGUUGGUGUGGUGCAGUCCGUAGGGUGGCGGGCUCUCACCCUUGACGUGGACCCGCCCCGUGCAGCUCAGGGUUCGAUUCCCUGUCGCGGGCGGUGCUCUCUGUAUUGUGAUCCCAACUCAUUUUGCAAUACUGCAGUACCCCUGUCUGAAUGAAGUCCAUGAAGAUGGAAAGAGAGCUCUCCAAAAAAAAAAAAAACGGUGUCCUGAUUGGCUCCUUCCUCAUGAAUAUUCAUGAGAAGGGUGUGGCAACAUACAGAGCAACCAUGGAUGGCAGAAAGACACAGGUACUAUUCUAGAAUAACCAAGCGGGCGACUCCUGCAUGCCUUUCCCUCCUAAAUUCUGGGGGGCUCCGGUCAGUAACAGGAGUUCCCAGCGCUCCCGAGCAUUCCGUCCAGUCCACGUUGCGCUCGGUCAGGAAUCAUUUCCAAAAAAGAUGCCCCAACAUCGGAACGCUUCUGCUUUGGCUUCAACGGAAAGGGAGACAGAAAUUUCAAAGCGGGAGGAGAAACAAAACAAAAAAAGAAAAAAAAACGGGAGUCGACCAUCUGGUUAGUCCAUAGCGAUAUCUGCAGUAUUACCGGCUGGAAGUUCCCUAGCCAAGGAGGACCAAUCGGAAUGCAGGCUGGCUGCCGUCUCUGAUGUGGCCAAUGCAGACAUCUGUUGCUCUCACUGGUAAAAAGGCCUCUUUAUCUCAUGAAUAAAUGAUGUCAACUGCAACAAGGGAUCAGCAGGAUCUGUUUUAUUUUUUAUUUUUUAAUGCAUCCGUUAGACCUUUCUUUUGUAUUAUGCAACACUGGCCUGGAUGUGGUCCUGCAUUUUCAACACAGGCGGUAGUCUAGCGCAACUGUUAGGGAACUGGAUUUGCAACCUGGAGGUUGCGGGCUCCAAUUGCAGUUGAAGCAUUGCCGUGGGUCCCAAAACAAAAAUUGGGGAAAACUGAGGAAAGCAGAUAAUGAUGAUGAUAACUGAAAUGUAGACAACAAAUAAACCAAGUUCUGUCACCAUCAUCUAACAGCUUUCAAAUAUUUUUUUUUUGCUUUUUUUAAAUUAAUUUUUUUAGAUAUGCUUGCUCCUAAAUUUACCACUACCUUUAAACAAAGUCUGCUCAAGUUCAAGUUUUCAAGACCCUAGAUUUGCAGCCUAGGUUCUGCUGUCAUCCCCCUUGACCUUGAUUAAUUACAUCUAAAUUGCUUUCGUGCACAGAUCCAGCAUCAUAAACGGACAGUGUGUCAACUUCAUACGCAGGUAUCUGAAGGUCUGCUGGGUGCUUAAGAUAAGGAUAUUCAUGAAAACAACAUUCCGCUCUGAGUCACAAAUUCCAUUUCGCUCUUCUGGUUUUUGUGAUGUUACGUCUAAUCACUUUGGACCUUUCCUUACUUCUGCAACAAGUCACAGGCGGUGUUUUCUUCAACCUUGCCUGCUGAACUUAAAAAAAAAAAAGAAAAAAAAGAGAGGUGGUGGGGAGGAAGGGAGGGAGGAGAGAGAAAAGGAACAGUGAUUUUAUGACCGGCCUUUUCCCCUCCUGUAUAAGUGCUUUACCAGAUGUGAGUGUUUAUGAGCAGGCUCUGUAGUUUCGGCUUCACCGCACUCCCAAGCCAGCCAGACGGGCCGCCCUGUCCUUCCACGCGGCACAUUCCCCGGGGCUCUGGUGGUUUGGUGCGACCCUGACGCCGCCUGCGGCACGCGGUAUAUUCCACUCUUGGUCUUAUGCAGGCCCAGACGCAACCUUCAACUGGCCAUUUCUCCGCUGCUUUGAGUUUGAGAAUUACAUGCAAGUGUUCGUGUCUUUUUGUUUCGGUUUUCAAACAGACACAAUUUAACAAUUCAUCCACCAGGUGAAAGACAGCUAGAGAAAUUUCUUUGGACUCUUAUC